rnacentral:tRNA from 1 species
GCAGUGGUAGUUCAGUGGUAGGAUUCUUGCCUUCCAUGCAGCAGACCCUGGUUCGAUUCCCGGCCAGUGCG